GAUGAACGCUGGCGGCGUGCCUAAUACAUGCAAGUCGAGCGAACGGACGAGAAGCUUUCUUCUCUGGUGUUAGCGUCGGACGGGUGAGUAACACGUGUAGAACCCACCUAUAUGACUGGGAUAACUUCGUGAAACCGGAGCUAAUACCGGCAGAUAUUUUGAACCGCAUGGUUCAAAAGUUUAAGACCGUCUUGCUUUCGCUUAUAGCUGGAUCCGCGCUGCAUUAGCUAGUUGGUAAGGUAACGGCUUACCAAGGCAACAAUGCAUAGCCGACCUGUGAGGGGGAUCGGCCACACACGAGAUGAGACACGGUCCAGACACCUACGGGAGGCAGAAGAAGGGAAUCUUCCGCAAUGGGCGCAAGCCUGACGGGGAAACGCGGCGUGAGUAAUGAGAGUCUUCUGAUCUUAAAACUCUGUUAUUAGGGAAGAAAAUAUGUGUAAGUAACUGUGCACACUUUGACAGUACCUACUCAGAAAGAGACCGCUAACUCCGUG
rnacentral:rRNA from 1 species